UGGACCAAGGAUGACGACUGAUGGCGCAUGAGAGUCAUGGGGGAUGAGUACCAUGUGUCUGAAACGCUGAGGUCCCA
ensembl:snoRNA